CUUUACAUUUGACCAUGUCUAUGGAAGUAGUGGAGUGGAUCUCCUUCAUCUGCCAUGUUUGAAGAAUGCAUUGCUGCAUUUGUUGAUGGUUUAUUCCAAGGAUAUAAUGAUACCAGUACUAGCUUAUGGUCAGAUUGAAGCAGCAGGAGGAGAGGAAAUGAAGAUCAUGAAAUAGCACAUGUUUCUGCUGUUAGUGUAGGCAAUGAUUAUUCAAUGGGAAACAUGAUUGUUUUGUUAUUAUUUUGUAGUUCAUCUUGUAGUUUUGUAUUUUGUAUUGUAAUGCAAUAUGUAAAUAACAAAAUAAUGUAAGAUGUAGUGGAUUACACAAA